UUGAUCCUUAAAUAGUGCUCAGCUGAGGCUGAACUUUAUGCAGCUUCCAUUUGGCUCUGGACACUUGAGCAACUGAGUGUCUGACACAUGUACAGAGCCCACAAGCUGCCAUGAGCUAUUUCUACAUGUAACUAGGUGACUACGCCUUGCAGCUUCCCCUACGUUAUAGGCUUUUUAACUUCAUUAUGUGAUCAGGCAUGUUGCCAACUUUGAAGGCCAUUCCACACAUCUGAGUGAUCUGGCUUGCCGUCCAGGUGAUUUAAGUGCCAAUCUUGAUAAAGGUCCGCAUAAGGACCGAAACGUCGAUGAAAUACGGCAUCAACAGUGAACCCGAAUAAAAAUAUACUGAAUUUACAAGUGACUUCAGAGACUAAUUUCUGGGCGUGAGUGCACCUUCCACCUAGGUGGUUGUUGUGGUAUAUUGGUGGCCUCUCUGGUCAUUAGGAGCACCCGCCGUCGUUAUUACUUUUGAUGAGAGUGCAGGAUCUU